rnacentral:rRNA from 1 species
GAUGAACGCUGGCGGCGUGCCUAAUACAUGCAAGUAGAACGCUGAAGGAGGAGCUUUCUCUUCUUGAUGAUUUGCGAACGGGUGAGUAACGCGUAGGUAACCUGCCUCGUAGCGGGGGAUAACUCUUGGAAACGAUAGCUAAUACCGCAUGACAUCAGUUAUUGCAUGAUAACUGUUUAAAAGGGGCAACUUCUCCACUACCAAAUGAACCUGCGUUGUAUUAGCUAGUUGGUGAGGUAACUGCUCACCAAGGCGACGAUACAUAGCCGACCUGAGAGGGUGAUAGGCCCAACUGGGACUGGGACAAGGGCCAGAACCCCACGGGAGGCAGCCGUAGGGAAUUCUCGGCAAUGGACGGAAGGCUGAACGAGCAAAGCCGCGUGAGUGAAGAAGGUUGUCGGAUCGUAAAGCUCUGUUGAAAGGGAAGAACGAGUGUGAGAGUGGAAAGUUCACACUGUGACGGUACCUGAACAGAAAGGGACGGCUAACUACGUG